GCAGGCUAGUGUGGAGGAGCAGAGAGCCAGAGGCAGGCUAGUGUGGAGGAGCAGACGGCCAGGGGCAGGCUAGUGUGGAGGAGCAGAGAGCCAGAGGCAGGCUAGUGUGGAGGAGCAGAGAGCCAGAGGCAGGCUAGUGUGGAGGAGCAGAGAGCCAGGGGCAGGCUAGUGUGGAGGAGCAGAGAGCCAGAGGCAGGCUAGUGUGGAGGAGCAGAGAGCCAGGGGCAGGCUAGUGUGGAGGAGCAGACAGCCAGGGGCAGGCUAGUGUGGAGGAGCAGACAACCAGGGACAAGCUAGUGUGGAGGAGCAGAUAGCCAGGGGCAGGCUACUGUGGAGGAGCAGACAACCAGGGGCAGGCUAGUGUGGAGGAGCAGAGAGCCAGGGGCAGGCUAGUCUGGAGGAGCAGAGCAGAGAGCCAGGGGCAGGCUAGUGUGGAGGAGCAGAGAGCCAGGGGCAGGCUAGUGUAGAGGAGCAGAGCAGAGAGCCAGGAUCAGGCUAGUGUGGAGGAGCAGAGCAGAGAGCCAGAGGCAGGCUAGUGUGGAGGAGCAGAGCAGAGAGCCAGGAUCAGGCUAGUGUGGAGGAGCAGAGCAGAGAGCCAGAGGCAGGCUAGUGUGGAGGAGCAGAACAGAGAGCCAGGGGCAGGCUAGUGUGGAGGAGCAGAACAGAGUGCCAGGGGCAGGCUAGUGUGGAGGAGCAGAGAGCCAGGGGCAGGCUAGUGUGGAGGAGCAGAACAGAGAGCCAGGGGCAGGCUAGUGUGGAGGAGCAGAGAGCCAGGCAGGUUAGGGAAGCAGGGAAGGAUAUUCAGGCAACGAGGCAGGCAGGCAGGCAUGGAAGGCUGGGGAGACGAGUUAGCGAGGCAGGCAGGCAUGGAAGGCUGGCGACAAGAGCCAGAGAGGCAGGCAGGUGGAGACGGGAGAGCAGGUAUGCAGGGACGAGAACCAGGUGAGCAGGGUUGGGCGGGCAGGCAGGCAGGCAGGCAGGCAAGCACUCUGAGGAGAGGGAGGCGGGUAAGGACGCAGGUAGGCAGAUAGGAGAAAUAAGGAAAGGCAGGCUGGCUCCCAUUUCAUAGCCCCCUGGCCAGCUGUCUCCAGGGUUACUGGGAAGAAGUGAUGGACGACCAGAAAGUACCUGGAAGUACCUGAAUGAAGACAAGGAGCGGAUGUCACACUCCUCCUCUUCUCCCUCAUUUCCUGGGCACCAUGGAAAGGAUCCCCCCCCACCCCCCUCCGCCUAAAGUGCAGCAGUGCACCAAUGAGAUCCCAUCUCCUCCACCCAGCACCGCUUUGCUUCCGCUGCUGCAGCCCAGAUUCUGUGCCUCUCUCUGGGUUUGGCUCCCAUCCAUCUGGGGGAUACUGGAAGCUGUCAGGCUGUGAAACAACUUCCACAGGAGCCUUCCUUCCUUCACUGGGGGAGACAAUGUUCCUCUUAGUGUGGGAACAUUCACUUCCGUCACAGUUCAACAACAAACACAUUCUGGAUAUUUGGAGGAAAGGAGACGAGCAGAAGGAUCCAUUUCAUACUAUUGAGAUGAACCUGUGGGUAGAGAGAAAGCACUGUAACAGUUCCCAUGUGCUGUGAAGUAACACUAUUCCCUCUUGAGUGAAGAACCCACGAAAUGUACCUAUGGAGAACCACGACACAGGAUGUCACCUAAAGUAUUGAAACAGGGCAGGGAGUUGGAGACAGUACAGAUGUGGAAACGUAUAGAUCACCCAACGUCAAGACUGAUGUGUUACUCCACAAUUGGCGUCUUCAUAGUGCAGUGACUCUGACUGGGUAAACUCCCCGGCUUCUCUCUCUCUCUCUCUCUCUCUCUCUCUCUCUCUCUCUCUCUCUCUCUCUCUACACACAACACUGGAUCUGAGAAAAAGAGAAAUAUCUUUGUUUUGAAUCUGAUGAUAACUGUUUAUUUUCCAAGCUGUCGAGAAAAAGUCUCCCUCCUGACUUCCUCUUGGGGGUUUUUAGACACUCCUAAAGCGGUGCAAUAAAACAACUCCUCACUUUCCUCUCAUCACGGUGCUACUAACACACAGUCUGACAAUAAUGUGUGUGUACGCUGGUGAUAAAACAACGCCUCACUUUCCUCUCAUCACAGUGCUACUAACACACAGCCUGACAAUAAUGUAUGUUGGAGAUAAAACAACUCCUCACUUUCCUCUCAUCACGGUGCUACUAACACACAGUCUGACAAUAAUGUGUGUGUACGCUGGUGAUAAAACAACGCCUAACUUUCCUCUCAUCACAGUGCUACUAACACACAGCCUGACAAUAAUGUAUGUUGGAGAUAAAACAACUCCUCACUUUCCUCUCAUCACGGUGCUACUAACACACAGUCUGACAAUAAUGUAUGUUGGAGAUAAAACAUAAAGCCUCCCGGUACUCCCCUGUGACUUCCUGACUAACACAGACAGCCAGAAGAGUCACAUUCCACACAACGCUAUCAAUAAAAUCAUUAAUUCUGCUUCUGUUUAUCUUGUU